rnacentral:rRNA from 1 species
GACGAACGCUGGCGGCGUGCUUAACACAUGCAAGUCGAACGGACAGGCCCUGCUUUUGUGGGGUGCUCGAGUGGCGAACGGGUGAGUAACACGUGAGUAACCUGCCCUUGACUUUGGGAUAACUUCAGGAAACUGGGGCUAAUACCGGAUAGGAGCUCCUGCUGCAUGGUGGGGGUUGGAAAGUUUCGGCGGUUGGGGAUGGACUCGCGGCUUAUCAGCUUGUUGGUGGGGUAGUGGCUUACCAAGGGUUUGACGGGUAGCCGGCCUGAGAGGGUGACCGGCCACAAUGGGACUGAGAUAGGGACCAGACUCCAACGGGAGGCAGGAGUGGGGAAUAGUGCACAAUGGGCGGAAGCCUGAUGCAGAAACGCCGCGUGCGGGAUGACGGCCUUCGGGUUGUAAACCGCUUUCGACUGUGACGAAGAGUGAGUGACGGUAAUGGGUAAAGAAGCACCGGCUAACUACGUG